UACGAGGGGGGCAAGCGUUGUUCGGAAUUAUUGGGCGUAAAGGGUGCGUAGGCGGCUUGGCAAGUCGGGUGUGAAACCUCCAGGCUUAACCUGGAGACGCCACUCGAUACUGCCAUGGCUAGAGUCCGGUAGGGGACCACGGAAUUCCUGGUGUAGCGGUGAAAUGCGCAGAUAUCAGGAGGAACACCGGUGGCGAAGGCGGUGGUCUGGGCCGGCACUGACGCUGAGGAGCGAAAGCGUGGGUAGCAAACAGG
rnacentral:rRNA from 1 species